UAUUUGUUAUGUGGUUUUUGGUAGAAUGACCAAAGCAGAUAGUCACUGCACUGAGUCUGAUCUGGUUGAGGUUUCUUCCUUUAAUCAAUAAAAGCCCGAGGG